CACAAAUCAUGCUGCUGGACAGUCAGCACUUUGCAGGUUUCUCCAUGCAUAAACUGCUUCAUAUGUUACUCAUACCACAGCUAGACUGACUGCCCAAGAAAACAAAGGACAAUGUGUAAGAAUGUGACCGUUUGACGUCUAUCCAAUGGUGUCAACUAAAAAUACAGUUUGACACAGGUAAACCGUAUUGACUACAUGCAACAGACAAAUAUAUGCGCAGCAGAAUAAACUAUUUAAUUUUG